ensembl:lncRNA LINC02796 long intergenic non-protein coding RNA 2796
GAAAUCUCAGAUGGUUGUCUACAGUUACAAGGGGGAUUUUUGGACUGAUUUGUGAUUUUUCUGGGAAUGCAACUCAAGUUAGAAGAGGCCAUUAUCUGAAAGAAGAAGAAGCACCAGCUGAUGUGUUGGUUAUUUUAGGGCGACAUUUGCAGUUGCUUGGGCAAUAUCAUGAGCCUCACCUCAUGCAGGUCUGGGUCCCAGACCCAAAGACUGCUCCUCCAUACUCAGAGAUACCAGCACUAACAGAGCAGCUCCUCUUCUUCAGUACAGAUGCUUCUCAACUUACAAUGAGGUUAUACCCUUAUAAACACAUGGCUGUAGGUAUACCACAAAGUGAUGGCAUCCACGGCCGUAUGGAUUGGCUGCUGAGAAGACACCACUGCAGUGGGGGAGGCACAACCUGGGCUGUGCACUCUGCGGAGCCCACAGGAGCUGGAAACAGAAACACUACUUGCUGCUGCUAGGUCAGAAACAGAAAACUGAUGGGAUCUUGCCAUGUUGUUCAGGCUGGCCUUGAAUUACUGGACUCGAGUGAUCCUCCAACCUCGGCCUCCUGAGUACAUAUUCCCUGGUCUAUAGAUGAAGAAAUGAAGGUUCAAGAAUACUGGACAUCUGGACUAAUUAAAUGACAACUAAAUGGCAGAAAUGGUAUUUAAGCUCAGGCCUAGCAGAUGCAAAGUCAUGGGCACAUGUCAAGUAUGUAAUAUUGUAUAGCCUAUUAACUCAUCAAUUUAGUCUUUAGAAGGCUGAAUUUCUAAUAUGUAUCAGGAAUAACAUAAAAGGUUGAGAGGAAAACCAUAAAAAGACAAGAUCCAUAUGCAAGUUUAAUUAAUUCAAUAGAAUUUUAAUUAUUUGCCAUGUACUAGUAGUUGUGUGAGACACUACUGACAAAUAAAAAGAUAAGUUAAAAA